rnacentral:snRNA from 1 species
UUCAAAUCUUACAAAGAAA